rnacentral:rRNA from 1 species
UAGCGUAGGGAGCAAGCGUUGUUCGGAUUUACUGGGCGUAAAGGGCGCGUAGGCGGCGCGGUAAGUCACUUGUGAAAUCUCUGAGCUUAACUCAGAACGGCCAAGUGAUACUGCAGUGCUAGAGUGCAGAAAGGGCAAUCGGAAUUCUUGGUGUAGCGGUGAAAUGCGUAGAUAUCAAGAGGAACACCUGAGGCGAAGGCGGGUUGCUAGGCUGACACUGACGCUGAGGCGCGAAAGCCAGGGGAGCAAACGGG